rnacentral:rRNA from 1 species
AACGAACGCUGGCGGCGUGCCUAACACAUGCAAGUCGAGCGAGAAAGUCCCUUCGGGGGCGAGUAAAGCGGCGGACGGGUGAGUAAUACAUGGAUAAUCUUCCCUCGAGCCUGGGAUAACCCUGCGAAAGUGGGGCUAAUACCGGAUAAGACCACAUGACACAUGUCACGGGGUAGAAGGUGGCUUGUAUUUAUAUGAGCUAUCACUUGAGGAUGAGUCCAUGGCCUAUCAGCUAGUUGGUGAGGUAAGAGCUUACCAAGGCUAUGACGGGUAGCUGGUCUGAGAGGACGACUAGCCACACUGGGACUGAGACACGGCCCAGACUCCUACGGGAGGCAGCAGUGGGGAAUAUUGGGCAAUGGGCGAAAGCCUGACCCAGCGACGCCGCGUGGGUGAUGAAGGCCUUCGGGUUGUAAGUACUCUUUUCGGCCCGGGAAGGAAAGUACGUAAUGGGUUAAGUAACCCUACGUGCGGAUGACGGUACCGGCCGAUAAAGAAGACAACCGGCGUAACCUAACGUACG